AAGGGCAUAGCUCAAGUGGUAGAGCACAUGCUUAACAUGCACGAGGUCCUGGGUUCAAUCCCCAGUACCUCCA
rnacentral:tRNA from 1 species